GGAUCUGACACCUUCUCCGCUGUCAGAACUGAGGCACCCCUGGCCCUGGGCGCUUGGAUCAGGUGUGAGAUCCAGUGGCCUAAUUUUAGACCUUGGGCCUCCAUGUCAAAACAGCAGCAGGAUAAUUUCAAAAAAAAAAGAAAGCAGAGGAAAAUGACAGCAUGACCUUGACCACCUUGUUAAUCAGGGAUCAAGCACAUCUCUGUGAAGGAAAGGGCGUUGCCGGGCAGGGCCACCGUGGCCACAUUGUGCUGCCCGCAGGUCGCCGUGGCACCCAGACCGCUCAACCACUGGGCCCAGGAAGCUCCCCGCCGCCCCGAGUUGGCUGAGGCCGUGUGGACCAGGAGCAGGGCCUUGCCUGCAGGGGCCUGCCCCCCGGGGUAGAGCACAGGGAUGGGCGGGAGGGACACUGGUGGCCAUCUGGGGUGAGGCCCUCAUUGUCAGCAGCGAGAAUCCCAAUGGGCAGACUUCGAAUGUACAGGAAAAUAGAGAAUGAACCUCCAGGCAUCAGCACCUGGAUUCCAGAACACCGUACUCCUGACGUCACAGACACCGUGACCUGUCCCUGUAGCCCUUCGUCGUGGCAUCUCUAAAACUAAAGAUGUUUCCUACCUCAGCCCAACUUCAUUAUCACAGAAGAGAACAUUCUGAGCAGAAGUUCCGAAGCAGGCAAGAGCGAGUUUGUUCUGGAAUGGAAUGAAUGAAUGAGUCACUGGAUGUGCCCAGCCUCUGGGAGGGGCCCGAGGAGGCUGCACCUUGCGGGGAGCGGAGGCUGAGACCCAGGACCUGGGACUACAGACUGGCCGGGGGCUCCUGCUGUGGCUGCUCGAGUGGGCCCAUGGGAGUGGCCCCAUGGGAGUGGCCCCAUGGGAGUGGCCCCAGGGCCUGUUUCCUUGUGUAUAAAAUAAAGUUCCUUCCUUGUGGGUGGUCA